UGGUUUCCAUGCACUAGCCUUGCGCAACA
rnacentral:sRNA from 1 species